rnacentral:lncRNA from 10 species
GUGUGUGUCUGUGUGUGUGAGAGAGAACCUCUUUGACACAGAACAGGAAUUGGUAUUAGGAAGGGAAAUUUGGGGGUAUGACCUCUGUUGUUAAUGAGUCUAUAGAGCAUGGGAAUAGCACAGGAUCUGGACCAGGCUGCAGGGUUUAAAUCCCAGGUCCACAACAUCCUGGCUCUGUCACCUUGAGCAGGUUAUACCUUGUGCCUCAGUUUCCUCAUCUGUAAAGUUGGAGUCAGAGUAUUUAUUUAAUAUGGUGGUUGUGAGAGUUACUUGGGUAAAUCUGCACAAAGUCCAUAUCACAGUGCCUACAUUGUAAACAUAGUAUAAGUGUUGGCUGACAUACUAAUAAUUUUGAUUUAUACUAAAAGAAUGAAAUAAAAUGUUCAGAUAAGAAGUAAAAGCAAUCAUUAAAUACCUAUGUUCUGUAUAUUGUGUCCCAAAUUAAGUUGCAUAGGCUUGGAAAACAUUUAUUGUAUAUAUUUCAAAACAUAUCUUUCUCAUUUGAAUAAUGAUAGCUAGAACUUUAUUAUAUAACAGAUCCAAGCGUAAUCCAGGAAGAGUCUGAAUCUAUAUAUGUGAUAGCCAGAGAUUGAAUAUACCCAAGUGUCCUCUGUAUGGAAAAAAAUUUAUCUGGGCCUUUUUAAUAUUUUGGCUGAAAAGGCUCAUCUGUAUUUUUCCUAAAUAUUUGCCUUAAUCUAGAUCACUCUUGCUAAUAACAGGUACUGUAAGAAUUACAUCAACCACUUCACUACCAAGGCUUGUUAUUUUUUUCAUGUGUUAUGAAGAAUCAAUAUAUAGGAAAUUCUAGAGAUGUAACCACAGUGGUGGAAGUAUAAACCCAGCCCUGAUUAAAAUAAAUUGCUGUCUUCCCUUCAAUGGCUAUAAAAUACUUUUCCCCACUCCUUCUUCUCACAUCCCUCUUCUCCUCCUCCUCCUCUUUCUCUUCCUUACCAUUCCUGCUCCUCUGUUCCUGUAUGUAUAUAUUCUGCACAAAUCUGACUCCAGUUAUUCCAAACCAAUUGCCAUUCUUCACAUGUGCCAUGCUGCCUAUUGCUUCCCUGCCCUUGCACAGGCAUUUCCCUGCCUCUAAAUUGCAUUUCCCCUUUUCUUCACCUGUCUAUGACCUAUGGAUACUUUAAUCUCAUCUUGGGCAUCAUUUUCUAUGAGAAGCCUUUUCUAAUUUCCACCACUUCCUCCUCAUAUGCUGUGUUAUUAGUCUAUUCUUACUUGCCAUUCCUCCCCACUAGACAAUGAGUUUCCUAUUGUGAUACUGCCCUGUUUUGCCAGCUCCUGGCAAUUGCCUGGAAUAUAGUAGGUGCUCACUAGCUGUCCGAUGAAUGAAUAAAUGAGUGGGCAUAUUUGUAUAUGAAAGUUUGAAAAACUUUGUACAAGUCAAAAGAGGCUAGCCUUUGUAUGUCUAAACAAAGUAAAUAUAGGUGUCUACCAUUUCUUUUUAACUGAAAAUAGAAAAGCUUUUGCAUUUUUAAAAUUUUACAUUGUUUAGCAUGGAGUUAUAUAUCAAAGAUAUUUUUAUCCUCAUUGAAAUAGUAGCCCAAAAUUACCACUAUAGUUGAUAAAAUGAUUUUCAAUUUGAUGGUAAUAAGUAAUAUCAUGAAGACAAACUACUUUAGGUUUCUAUUAAAUAAACCAUUGCAUAUAAGUAAAUAUAUGCAUAAAUAGACAAUACUUGGUAAAAUAAUGAAAUGCUCUUGCAACUGUAGAAUAUUAUUUUUCUCCUUUGUGCUAUAUAUUUAUAGCAUUUAAGCAACCAUGUCAUUUACUCAGGUUUUCUUAUAUUAGUUGAUCAGAUCUUUUUUCCCUUGGUAUCAUAGUCUGACAUAAUUAUCAAUAAUACAGAAAGGUGAUAAAAUCAUUAUUUUACAGAACAAAUCCUUUUUCUGAAAUCCUGUGUGUCUGUGUGUGCAGAUAUCUCUAACAGAUACCUUAAUCAUUUUCAUUGGAAUAGGAAUUAAAAGUCAUUUUGCAAAUAAGGUAAGUCUAGACUCCCAAAAUAAAAAUUCUUAUGAUCAAAUAUUCAUAGAUUAUGAGGUUAUUACAUGCGAGGCACUGCUCUAAGCACUUUACAUAGGUCAUAUCCUUUUAUGCUGAGAGUGGUUUUUAUUAUGAUCCCAUUAUAUAGGUGAGGGAAUUGAAACACAGAUUAAGAAAUGGG